GCGAAUUCGCCCUUCGGGGUGCAGCAGGCGCGAAAACUUUGCAAUACACGAAAGUGUGACAGGGCUAUCCCGAGUGCCAUCCGCUGAGGAAGGCUUUUACCCAGUCUAGAACGCUGGGGGAAUAAGGAGAGGGCAAGUCUGGUGUCAGCCGCCGCGGUAAUACCAGCUCUCCGAGUGGUGUGGAUGUUUAUUGGGCCUAAAGCAUCCGUAGCUGGCUAAGUUAGUCCCUUGUUAAAUCCACCGAAUUAAUCGUUGGAUUGCGGGGGAUACUGCUUGGCUAGGGGACGAGAGAGGCAGACGGUAUUUCCGGGGUAGGGGUGAAAUCCUAUAAUCCCGGGAAGACCACCAGUGGCGAAGGCUGUCUGCUAGAACGCGCCCGACGGUGAGGGAUGAAAGCUGGGGGAGCGAACCGGAUUAGAUACCCGGGUAGUCCCAGCUGUAAACGAUGCAGGCUAGGUGUUUGGACGGCCACGUGCCGUUCUAGUGCCGCAGGGAAGCUGUUAAGCCUGCCGCCUGGGGAGUACGAUCGCAAGAUUGAAACUUAAAGGAAUUGGCGGGGGAGCAC
rnacentral:rRNA from 1 species